rnacentral:rRNA from 1 species
AGAGUUUGAUCCUGGCUCAGGAUGAACGCUGGCGGCGUGCCUAAUACAUGCAAGUCGAACGCUUCACUUCGGUGAAGAGUGGCGAACGGGUGAGUAAUACAUAAGUAACCUGGCAUCUACAGGGGGAUAACUGAUGGAAACGUCAGCUAAGACCGCAUAGGUGUAGAGAUCGCAUGAACUCUAUAUGAAAAGUGCUACGGGACUGGUAGAUGAUGGACUUAUGGCGCAUUAGCUGGUUGGUAGGGUAACGGCCUACCAAGGCGACGAUGCGUAGCCGACCUGAGAGGGUGACCGGCCACACUGGGACUGAGACACGGCCCAGACUCCUACGGGAGGCAGCAGUAGGGAAUUUUCGGCAAUGGGGGAAACCCUGACCGAGCAACGCCGCGUGAAGGAAGAAGUAAUUCGUUAUGUAAACUUCUGUCAUAGAGGAAGAACGGUGGAUAUAGGGAAUGAUAUCCAAGUGACGGUACUCUAUAAGAAAGCCACGGCUAACUACGUGCCAGCAGCCGCGGUAAUACGUAGGUGGCGAGCGUUAUCCGGAAUUAUUGGGCGUAAAGAGGGAGCAGGCGGCACUAAGGGUCUGUGGUGAAAGAUCGAAGCUUAACUUCGGUAAGCCAUGGAAACCGUAGAGCUAGAGUGUGUGAGAGGAUCGUGGAAUUCCAUGUGUAGCGGUGAAAUGCGUAGAUAUAUGGAGGAACACCAGUGGCGAAGGCGACGAUCUGGCGCAUAACUGACGCUCAGUCCCGAAAGCGUGGGGAGCAAAUAGGAUUAGAUACCCUAGUAGUCCACGCCGUAAACGAUGAGUACUAAGUGUUGGGAGUCAAAUCUCAGUGCUGCAGUUAACGCAAUAAGUACUCCGCCUGAGUAGUACGUUCGCAAGAAUGAAACUCAAAGGAAUUGACGGGGGCC